UCAACCAUGAUCUUCAUCUCCAUCUUCAUCUGCACACUGGCUCUCUGCACUCAAGGAUCCAGAGGUCAGGUGACUGUGACUCAGAGUCCUGCAGUAAAACAUGUUGAUCCAGGAGCUUCAGUCACCAUCAACUGUAAAACCAGUUCUGCUGUUUACAAUAAUGACUUUUUAGCCUGGUAUCAGCAGAAACCUGGAGAAGCUCCUAAACUCCUGAUCUACAGGACUAACAGCAGAGAAUCAGGUAUUCCAGAUCGUUUCAGUGGCAGUGGAUCCAGAUCUGACUUCACUCUGACCAUCAGUAGAAUUGAGACUGGAGAUGCAGGAGAUUAUUACUGUCAGAGUUACCAUUAUAUCAGUAGUACUAACAUCUUCUCACAGUGUUAUAUGGUGGUACAAAAACCUGGGUCUUGGUGA